rnacentral:rRNA from 1 species
AUACGGAGGAUCCAAGCGUUAUCCGGAUUUAUUGGGUUUAAAGGGUGCGUAGGCGGACCUUUAAGUCAGCGGUGAAAGUUCCCGGCUCAACCGGGGAAUUGCCGUUGAAACUAUUGGUCUUGAGUGUAGAUGAGGUGGGCGGAAUUCGUAGUGUAGCGGUGAAAUGCUUAGAUAUUACGAAGAACUCCAAUUGCGUAGGCAGCUCACUAGGCUACAACUGACGCUGAGGCACGAAGGUGCGGGGAUC